rnacentral:rRNA from 1 species
AUUGAACGCUGGCGGCAUGCUUUACACAUGCAAGUCGAACGGUAACAGGCCGCAAGGUGCUGACGAGUGGCGAACGGGUGAGUAAUGCAUCGGAACGUGCCCAGUCGUGGGGGAUAACGCAGCGAAAGCUGUGCUAAUACCGCAUACGAUCUAUGGAUGAAAGCGGGGGACCGUAAGGCCUCGCGCGAUUGGAGCGGCAGAUGUCAGAUUAGGUAGUUGGUGGGGUAAAGGCCCACCAAGCCAACGAUCUGUAGCUGGUCUGAGAGGACGACCAGCAACACUGGGACUGGGACACGGCCCAGACUCCUACGGGAGGCAGCAGUGGGGAAUUUUGGACAAUGGGCGCAAGCCUGAUCCAGCAAUGCCGCGUGCAGGAAGAAGGCCUUCGGGUUGUAAACUGCUUUUGUACGGAACGAAAAGGUCUGGGUUAAUACCCUGGGCCGAUGACGGUACCGUAAGAAUAAGCACCGGCUAACUACGUGCCAGCAGCCGCCGUAA